rnacentral:rRNA from 1 species
GCGUAAGAUCGUCGGCAGCGUCAGAUGUGUAUAAGAGACAGGUAGAGGAGCAUCCUGCAAGGACGAAGCCAAAGUGAGAGCGAUGGUGGACGAAACAGGAGAGAGAAUGCCGGAAUGAGUAGCGAGAUACAUGUGAGAAACAUGUAGGCCGAAUAUCUAAGGAUUCCUGGGUAAAGCUAAUCUUCCCAGGGUUAGUCGGGGCCUAAGGCGAGGACGAAAGUCGUAGUCGAUGGAUAACAGGUUGAUAUUCCUGUACUACACAUAAUCAGAACUGUGGGGACGCAGGAGGAUAGGGAAACCGGGGAAUGGAAAGACCCGGUCAAGCGUAAAGCUGUGGGAGAUAGGCAAAUCCGUCUCCUGUAAGUGAAACGUGAUGAGGACUGAAAAAAAGUAAGGAAGUUUCCGAAUCCACACUGCCGAGAAAAGCCGCUAUUGCGUUAUGUGUACCCGUACCGUAAACCGACACAGGUAGAUGAGGAGAAAAUCCACAGGCCGACGGGAGAAGUGUUGUUAAGGAACUCGGCAAAAUGACCCCGUAACUUCGGGAUAAGGGGAGCCUCGCAAGAGGCCGCAGAAAAGAGGCACAAGCAACUGUUUAGCAAAAACACAGGUCUAUGCGAAACCGUAAGGUGAUGUAUAUGGGCUGACGCCUGCCCGGUGCUGGAAGGUUAAGAGGAGAGGUUAGAGCAAUCGAAGCUUUGAAUUGAAGCCCCAGUAAACGGCGGCCGUAACUAUAACGGUCCUAAGGUAGCGAAAUUCCUUGUCGGGUAAGUUCCGACCCGCACGAAAGGCGUAAUGAUUUGAGCGCUGUCUCGACAAUGCACCCGGUGAAAUUGAAAUACCAGUGAAGAUGCUGGUUACCUGCGCCAGGACGGAAAGACCCCAUGGAGCUUUACUCCAGCUUGAUACUGGGAUUCGGUAUUGCAUGUACAGGAUAGGUGGGAGACGAAGAAAUGGUAACGCCAGUUGCCAUGGAGCCGCUGUUGGGAUACCACCCUUGCAGUACUGGAUUUCUAACCAGCAGCCGUGACCCGGCUGGGGGACAAUGUCAGGUGGGGAGUUUGACUGGGGCGGUCGCCUCCGAAAGGGUAUCGGAGGCGCUCAAAGGUUCCCUCAGAAUGGUUGGAAACCAUUCGAAGAGUGCAAAGGCAGAAGGGAGCUUGACUGCGACACCGACGGGUGGAGCAGGUACGAAAG